CGAACGCUGGCGGCAUGCCUAACACAUGCAAGUCGAACGGAGGCCCGAAGCUUGCUUCGGAUACCUUAGUGGCGAACGGGUGAGUAACACGUGGGAAUCUACCUAAAAAUGGGGAAUAACUGUUGGAAACGACAGCUAAUACCGCAUAAUCCCUUCGGGGCAAAGGCUUCGGCCGUUUUUAGAUGAGCCCGCGCUAGAUUAGGUUGUUGGUGGAGUAAUAGCCCACCAAGCCUGCAAUCUAUAGCUGGUCUGAGAGGAUGAUCAGCCACACUGGGACUGAGACACGGCCCAGACUCCUACGGGAGGCAGCAGUGGGGAAUAUUGGACAAUGGGGGAAACCCUGAUCCAGCAAUGCCGCGUGAGUGAAGAAGGCCCUAGGGUUGUAAAGCUCUUUCAGAAGUGAAGAUGAUGACUGUACUUCAGAAGAAGAUCCGGCUAACUCCGUGCC
rnacentral:rRNA from 1 species